CCUACGGGCGGCAGCAGUCGAGAAUCAUUCACAAUGGGGGAAACCCUGAUGGUGCGACGCCGCGUGGGGGAAUGAAGGUCUUCGGAUUGUAAACCCCUGUCAUGUGGGAGCAAAUUAAAAAGAUAGUACCACAAGAGUAAGAGACGGCUAACUCUGUGCCAGCAGCCGCGGGAAUACAGAGGUCUCAAGCGUUGUUCGGAAUCACUGGGCGUAAAGCGUGCGUAGGCUGUUUCGUAAGUCGUGUGUGAAAGGCGCGGGCUCAACCCGCGGACGGCACAUGAUACUGCGAGACUAGAGUAAUGGAGGGGGAACCGGAAUUCUCGGUGUAGCAGUGAAAUGCGUAGAUAUCGAGAGGAACACUCGUGGCGAAGGCGGGUUCCUGGACAUUAACUGACGCUGAGGCACGAAGGCCAGGGGAGCGAAAGGGAUUAGAUACCCGAGUAGUC
rnacentral:rRNA from 1 species